rnacentral:lncRNA from 1 species
GGGAACUGUCUUCAGUUCAAUAAUAGCAACAAAUCAGUAAGCUCGCUCCAGCCCUCGAUGCUCGUUCAUCUCAACCCAGUGGCAGCAGAGAAGGCACGUUGCUGAGAUAGGAAACACAGCAUGAACAAGACAAACAUGACAUUUGCCCUUAUAGAUGCUGACCAGCACAAGGAGUGUCCCUAAUUUCUACUCCUGCUCCCUCGGCAGGCAUCACUAAUCAACAAAGACAGUGUUUCCCCUGAGCUUGGAUCUCCUCAACUCAGUGUUCUUUGGCAGUUACUGAGAUUGGAUCAGAAUUGGCAUGGGAAUUAAACAUACAUGGCUGUAUAUUACAUGCAUAUGUAGCAGGCUACGAUAUUGGAUUUUCAACCUAGAGACCCAGGCACAAUAGAUAACAAGAACCGAAGUAAAGUUUGACACAGAGCACCAAGAUGAAAAUUAUUAAGUCAAGUUUGAAGUUUUUAUUUGGGAACUGUUUACAAGAUGUUGGGUCUCUUUCCAGGGGCCCUUCACCAAGAUAAAAAAAUUGACAUCACUCUACAUUUCUAUGUAGAAAUGACAUUAAGAGCCACACUUCUCUUAAGGAGUCCUAUCCCCUUCAGCCAAGGCUAUUGAGGAGUGUUUUCAGGGACAACUUGGCAAGUUUGCAGGUAAAAGGCCACAGAGCACUGGUACCACAAUCAUGCGUGAGAAAGCUGAAGUGGCUUGUAUGGAAGAGAAGAAACCAGCAGCUGGGAAGAAAACGCAUUCCUCACCAACUCAAGUCAAGAGGGGUGUGAAUUCUGGGUCAGAGGGCAUCAUAUUGAUGAUGUUUUAAAAUGAAUCUUGCCCAAAGCUUUUCCUUACAGGGUAAGGGGAUGCAAAGUGGUAACAGGCUGAAAGGUAUACCACCAGGGACAGAAACUGAAGUGGGAUUGGAGACUAAAGACUCAAGGAAAGACACUCCCCAUGUCACAGGAGUUGCAACUGUUGGGGCCUAGCAGAGGAAACUUCAAAGCACUCACAAAAGCACCUGCAUGAGAAAGGCAGCUUUAAAACAUCUGCAAGGUCUAGAAAGCCUGACAUCUACCUAUGACAGUGAUGGUCUUGUAAGAAGUAUCAUCAUUCUUGUCACUUUUAUAUCCAAC